AACGAACGCUGGCGGCAUGCCUAACACAUGCAAGUCGAACGAGACCUUCGGGUCUAGUGGCGCACGGGUGCGUAACGCGUGGGAAUCUACCCUUGGGUUCGGAAUAACUCAGAGAAAUUUGAGCUAAUACCGGAUGAUGUCGAAAGACCAAAGAUUUAUCGCCCAAGGAUGAGCCCGCGUAGGAUUAGCUAGUUGGUGAGGUAAAGGCUCACCAAGGCAACGAUCCUUAGCUGGUCUGAGAGGAUGAUCAGCCACACUGGGACUGAGACACGGCCCAGACUCCUACGGGAGGCAGCAGUGGGGAAUAUUGGACAAUGGGCGAAAGCCUGAUCCAGCAAUGCCGCGUGAGUGAUGAAGGCCUUAGGGUUGUAAAGCUCUUUUACCCGGGAUGAUAAUGACAGUACCGGAGAAUAAGCCCCGGCUAACUCCGUG
rnacentral:rRNA from 1 species